AUUGAACGCUAGCGGCAGGCCUAACACAUGCAAGUCGAGCGAGCGGCGGACGGCUGAGUAAUGUAUGGGGACUGCCCGAUAGAGGGGGAUAACUACUGGAAACAGUGGCUAAUACCGCAUACUAUCGGAUAACCCAUAUGGGAUUAGCUAGUAGGUGGGGUAAAGGCUCACCUAGGCGACGAUAUCUAGCUGGUCUGAGAGGAUGAUAAGCCAAACUGGGACUGAGACAAGGCUCACAAUCCUACGGAGGCAUCAGUGGGGAAUAUUGCAAAAUGGGCGAAAGCCUUAUGCAGACAUGCCGCGUGUACGAAGAUGGCCUUAGGGCUGUAAAGUACUUUCAGCGGGGAGUCGUGACACGCAGAAGAAGCACUGGUUAACUCCGUGCUAGCAGCCGCGGUAAUAC
rnacentral:rRNA from 1 species